UCUUGCUUGGCGAACCUUUAACUCCGUCGACCGUCUACGGCAUUUUUCCUAAUUGAACCAAGCGCGACAGACUGGAAGCGGCAAAAGUCUCUCUUCUCGCUCGGAAAUUUCCCGUUGCUCGUUGGCAAAUUGCUCGCGAAGGCUCGUCGACGAACCAGAUAUCAUAUCCUCGAGAUAUCAUAUUUGAAGAUGCGGAGCGUGCAUGUAAGCAAACGUAUUUCGUGGAAAGAAGAAAACUGGAACGAUGGAAUUCUCGGUGCCUCGGCUUUCUUCCUCAAAUCUAUUCUACUCUUUUAUGGACACCGAAGACUUUGAAUCGCUAUGCACUGGAAAUAAUGCCGAUAUUCUUGACUGCUUGAUAUUCCUUUGCUUAAAUUUAAUCAACUGUUACUGAUCAUCGUUGAUUCGAAGAUCAAAGACGAAAUGAUUUUCGAAUACGAACGAUGGUUGCAGAAGCAGAGAAAGCGUAACGGGAAUGCCCAGGAAGUCGAAAAGUUUCGUUCCCUAGCGCCUUUUUUCUCCCGGGGCUCUCGUAGACGGUGCAUAACCCGAGAGAACCUAGAUCGAUGCCUCGUCCUCGAGGAGACGCUUCAACAUGGAUUAUAUCACACUUGGAGCGUCCAGCACAACGAGACCUCCCCAAGGAGCUUGUCGAAGCUUCGACGUUGGACGAACAUACAGAAUUUGACAAUAAUGGAUUAAUCGUAGUAAGAUGAUUCGCCAGCUUUUCUCAAAGGCGAGAGAACCGAGAACUGGCAGACUGCGUUUCAACAUUUCAAGCUAAGAGAGGGGGGAUGCAUCUGUUUACGUG